UCACUUAACUAAUGAAGUCAGUUCAUAUCAUACCCCAUAACUCUUCCUUCAUGAUCAUAACAUCACCUGGCCUCUUAAUUCCCGGGUACACCAACAAACCCACUUGGCAAUUCUCAUCUCUGUAUUUUACCAUGUGGACAUACUCUUCCGUUUCCUUCCAUGUUUCGCUGUCGAAUAUUAUUCCACAUCUAACAAAACCACAUCCCAACAGAUCCGAACACAGGUUUCGGUAAUACCCAAGAGAAUGUGGCAGCCGAAGAGGAGAGUCCAAGAAAGAGACCACGGGUGGAGCUGAACAGAACUCAGCCACCCCCAGAGGAAUGUGGCAUUAUCCAACCCCACACACAGCUGCUCAGUGUCCCCCAAGCCACACAUGAAAAUAAUGAGCUGCAGCCUGACACUGAUGAGUGUGCUCCCCAUUGCACUGCACCAGCUCCACGUGCUGAUUUUGGGUGUGAAACUGAAGGGGUUGGAGGAAACCCGACUCGGCCAUCAAGCUCACCAAAAUACAAGACAUCAAAACUGCAAUUGUUGCAGAAGACGGUCUGCCGUCUGCGCCGGCAGGUAAGGCAGCUCAAAGCUCAGGCCAUUACCACUCCUGGGCAGUUUUUGGCCAAAGCCAGCAAUUUCCUAGAUCCAAAAGUGGUGGAUUUUUUCAAAGGACAGGUUCAACAUGCUGCAAGAUCUAAGCCUGGUAGGAGAUAUGGGGUACAAGAGAGGAGGUUUGCUCUGGCCUUGUACUAUCAAAGUCCAAAGGCUUAUCGAUUUCUCAGCAUAGUAUUUCAUUUGCCUUCAGUUUCAACACUUCACUCAUGGCUCAGGAGUAUUUCACUAAAUGUUGGCUGGAGCAAACGGACUCUGACAGCCCUGAAGAAAAGAGCACAGGCUUUGUCAAAAGAAGACACAC